AAAAAGUUGAAUAUUAAGAGUUCAAAGGAGAAUUUUUAAAGAAAACUUAGAACAAAAAGAUUUAAAAGGAGGCCAUUUAAAACAGAGCAAAAACAUUAGGAGAUUCAAAACUUACCAAUAAUACCAACGUCUUCCCUGAGGACAAGUAUCCAGCAUGGUCUAAUGUGUCUUCAUAGUUUCAGCAGAGAGGACGAACACAAAUUUGUUUCUUUGCACUUUGAUAGUUGAGGCUGGUUAGUGAGAUGACAGAAAAGAAAAUGGAGGGAAGGCAGGAAGGCAGGCAGGCAGGCAAGAAAGAAAGAAA
rnacentral:lncRNA from 1 species